CACAACAUCAUGAACUUCUGUCUUAAAUCACCAGAACAUUAAUGUUAAUAAACUUCAAGUCACGGUUCAUUUCUUUAUAUAGCCCGUUUACAACAGCCUUGGUUGGUUCAAACAUGCACAGUGUGGCAUCACCUCUGAUUCUAAAUAAUACUGACAAAGACUCAUCUUUAGUCACAACUUAGAGUAAAUCAAAGCUUUUUUCUCCAAUAUAUUAAGUUAGGUGCAGAUUUUUAUUCUUAAGACAUUAUUCAAGUGAUUUGCACAAUCAGUGCAUUUACUUCUGCUAUUCCAGAUGGAUUUAGUUUAAAAAUAAGGAUGGUAUAUAAAACUAAUGUACAUUAGUAGCAUUUUUAGCUAUGUAAACGUUAGCUAACUGUGACACAGCACUGCUUAGGAGAAAAUGCUUUGAUAUGCUUUAAGACAAACAGUUAAAUGAGAAAAUAAACUAAAAAUCUUCAAUAUAAAUAAUGGCAGCACUUUCAGAAGUAAAUUUUAAAUUUUAAUAUUGCCAAUUUGCUCCAUUGGAGUGGUUAGCAUUACUAAGGAAAUAAAACCAUUUGUGCUUCAAUCUCUACUCUGUACCGUAUAAACACACAUUUCCAGAGGACCUGUCAUAAUUCAUUUGCUAGAAAUAUAGUCAGUAUCUGUAAUACUGGUGGUUUACAAACCAAACAGCAAUGUUAAUGUUACUCACUGGAACCUUCAUAUGCUUUGGAGAAAUGGUAAUGAUUUAUUUAAAACAUUUUUAAUCAGCAAAAAAGAAGCAUAUCUCCGUUUUUCUAAGCCAACAACGGCGGGAUGGAGUCUUGGAAAAGAAAAUAUAAGAGAUUGAAAAUCCGCUGCAAAACUUUAAAUAAUGCAUCUCUAUGAAAAAAAUUUAAAUAAAAACAGCAACACUGUUAGCUCCUGGGGUUCACAAACACCAGCAGUUUGUUUAUAGUUAUCGCCGAGUCAUUUGCAAACUUAGGAAUAUUUUUUCAACGGCAAUGCAAGAAAUUUGAUCCGCCAACACGCAGCUGGUGGAGAUCAUUUUAAACCAGGUUUCACUUACCAUAAAUUCACCAUGGAGUCCAACACAAAGGGCAAACCGGCGGCGGAAAAAAAAAA